rnacentral:tRNA from 1 species
UAGAGCAACUCGUUUACACCGAGUAGGUCGCAGGUUCGAGCCCUGCAGCGUGCA